GACGUAGGUGGCAAGCGUUGUCCGGAUUUACUGGGCGUAAAGAGCGCGCAGGCGGUCGACCAAGUCGCGUGUGAAAGCCCCCGGCUCAACUGGGGAGGGUCACGCGAUACUGAUCGACUCGAAGGCAGGAGAGGGUAGUGGAAUUCCCGGUGUAGUGGUGAAAUGCGUAGAUAUCGGGAGGAACACCAGUGGCGAAGGCGACUACCUGGCCUGUUCUUGACGCUGAGGCGCGAAAGCUAGGGGAGCAAACGGG
rnacentral:rRNA from 1 species